CCCACCCGUUUACCCAACUAUUACAUGAUUAUUCCCAAUCGGGUAAACAUUUGGGUUUAGGGUUUUAGCAAAUAUCAUCUAUUCAUCUGCCAUUUCCGGAGACUUCCUCGCCAGCCUCGCCAUUUUUUCAUUUGUUCCAGUUUGGAUUUCUCUAUCGCCAAUUCUCUUGUAUAUACCAAUCCUUAAUCUCUCAUCUGCGGCACUUAUUAUUAGUAAAAUCUUUCAUUUCACUUAACGGGUUUUUGGAUUCAUGAAAUUCAAGUUUGGCUUCUUUCUUGGUAAUUCUCAGCCAGACUCCAAAGAAUGGCCAAGUAUAGAUCCUUUCCACACAAUCCACUUCAGCCCUUGUUCUUUUCCCGCAAAAUACCCUUCACCUCUUGCCCUUUACCUUUAGAAUCUCCUUCACAAUCUGCUACUGGAGCACUCCCAGAUGACCUAAGAGUCAUGUGCUUUUCAGCAUUAGAGCAGCUAAUUCGACGGGGAUUAGUGAAUUCCGCACUGAAGCUUGUUCAGAGAAUUAUAAAGCAUUCCUCAUCGGUCCAUGAAGCCGUCUCUGCUGUUGAUUUUGCCCUUUCUAGGGGAGUCGAGCUCGAUAUCAAGAGUUAUGAUUUUCUUAUCAGAAAACUUGCGACUUCUGGCAAAGCCAGGAUGGCAGAGGCAGUUUAUGUUGACUUCAUAUUGAGCAGAGGAGUUGAGCCGGAUCAUUAUUUAUUGAAUUCCAUGGUUCUUUGUUAUUCUAAGUUGGGUAAGUUGGAGGAAGCCAAGUCUCAAUUUGAUAGACUUCUUGCAAUGGAAACUAUGCCUUGCAGUGCAGCGUGCAGUGAACUUAUUAGUGAGUUUUGUGCACAAGACCGAGUCCUGGAGGGAUUUCAUGUGUUUCUUGAAGUGUGUGGUGCUGAAUUUGUACUGAACCUCCGGUGCUACAAUGGGUUGGUGGAUGGGUUGAGCUCAAGAGGGUACAUAGAUGAGGCACUCUGUGUGUAUGACUUAAUGUGUGAUAAAGGGGUGCCACCCACUAUUCAUUUGCUCAAAAAAUUGGUUUUCAUGCUUUGUCAGAGUGGGCGGGUUGAGGAGGCUGAGUUGUUAAGUUUGAACAUGGAAUCCUUUGGUUUCUUUCUUGAUAAAGUCAUGUACACGGCUCUUAUCAAUGGGUAUUGCCAGAAACGAAGUAUGAGGAUGGCUAUGAGAUUGUUUUACAGAAUGCUGAAAAUGGGCUGCCAGCCAGAUAAUUAUACAUACAACACGUUGAUGCAUGGUUUUUUGAACUUAGGCAUGUUCGAAAAAAUUCCUGUGUUGCAUCACCAGAUGGAGGAGCUAGGGCUGAAGCUUAAUGUUGUGAGUUACCAAAUCAUGAUUAGCAAGUGUUGCAAGGUUUGUAAAGUUGAUUGUGCAUUGGCCCUGUUAAAUAGUAUGAUACAGUGCAAUUUAGCACCCACUGUAUACUGUUACACGCCUUUACUUGCUGCACUUUAUAAGGAAAAUCGGUUAGCAGAAGUUGAUCAAUUGUAUAAUCAGUUGUUUGAUCAUGGACUUCUUCCUGAUGAAGUUCUCUUCUUCACCGUAGUAAAAAACCACGUAGAAGGACAUGAGAUUAAUCUGGCACAUAAUUUUGUGGCAGAAAUUGCCAGAAAUGGGUGUGGCAUUGACCUCUCAAACAUCUGUAGCACCAGUAGUAAAUCUGCUGAUGACAUCAUGCUUGAGACUGAUCUUCUCCUUCAAGAAAUUUUUUCACGAAACUCAGGUUUAGCUUGUGUUGCUUUUAAUAUAUACAUGAUUGCACUGUGUUAUGGAGGCAGACUGGAGGCUGCUUUGCUAUGCAUGGAUAAAAUGUCAAAUCUUUCUCUUCAGCCUUCACUCCCAGCUUACAACUCCAUGAUUAGGUGUCUUUACCAGAAAGGACAAGGAGAGGAUGCUAAAUCCCUUGUUAAAGUAAUGCAAGACCAAGGUCUAGUUCCAAGCAUGUUGACAUUCUUAAUUAUGGUGAAUGAGCAAUGUAAACAGGGUGACUUGCCAUCAGCUAUUGGGAUUUUGGAUCAACUGGAAGAUAGUGGAAUGAAGCCUAGUAUCGCUAUAUAUGACUCUAUAAUAGGGCAUUUGGCUAGAGAGAAGAGAUUACCGGAAGCAUUAGAAUUGUUUGCUAGAGUGCGUGAGGCUGGAACUCUCCCUGAUGAAACUAUGUUUGUAACAAUGAUUAAUGGCCUCUCAAAGAACGGACAAGCAAUUGCAGCUCAUGAACUCUUUGAAAAGAUGUUGGAGUGUGGUAUUCAACCAGGCUACCGUGCUUACACUGCACUUAUAAAUGGGUUUGUUAAGAAAAACAUGAUAGCAAAGGGGUGUCUAUAUCUUGAUAGAAUGUUAAAAGAGGGAUUUGUGCCCAAUGCUGCUCUUUAUACUUCUCUGAUCAACCAAUUCUUAAGGAAGGGAGAAAUUGAAUUUGCGCUUCAGUUAGUUGAUUUGAUGGAGAGAAGUCAGAUUGAGGAAGAUAUGAUAACCCAUGUUGCAUUGGUUAGUGGUGUUUGCAGAAAUAUCCGAUACAUUAGUAGGAAAUGGCAUGAAUCACAAAGCCAAUUUGAGAAGGCAAAGUAUAUGCUUUACCAUCUACUCUGCCAAUAUACUAAUUUUUCAAAGGGGAAAGAUUUGAAAAUUUUUUUCAGUUCAAGGAAAGAACUAAAAGUUUUUGCACUGAAAUUGAUCAACAAAGUGAAAGAAACUAAUUUUCUUCCGAACUUAUACCUGCAUAAUGGUGUGAUUGCUGGAUAUUGUUGGGCAAAUAAUAUGCAAGGGAUUACAAUGACUAAAUCAAUCUGCUAUCUCACGGACAUGGGAGAUGAUGAGUGUUUCACUAAUGAUACAUUAAAUACGAAUGUUACAUUUGUCACUGGAUUACAGUCCAAUAAGCACUUUGGAUUCUCCAGUUGAUCUUGAAGGCUUUUAUUUGAUGAGGGGUUCUUCUCUAAGUUGAAGAUUUGUGAACUUCAUCAGUUUUUGAGACCAAUAGAUUCAGCAGCAGAAUCAUUGUGUCUUCAGACUAUUCAACACAGGAUGAGAUCUUCAGCUGGCCAAUUGGGUGCCUGUCAAGAACUUCAGUGGAGCACCUGCCAAUAGCUUCAGCCAGUGAAAUAUUUGCCAGAGGCUCCACUAUCACUAUGAUACCAAAAGCUUCCAUUCUGAGAAGGUCAGUACUUACUACUUAGCAACUUUGUUGAAUCAAACCUUUUCUAGCCCAGCCCAAGUAAGUUUUGUAUUUUGAAUUACUACAACACUCCAUUGCUUGGCUAAUUAAGUAAUUCCAAAGUUUGAUUGUAAGAAGGUCGUGAUGGCAUAUGGCCUCUUCUGCAACUGGAAAGUUCCCCUUUUUAAAAAAACUGGAAAACAGAAUACCCAAUUGAAUCUAAAUUAGGAAGUAUAGAAGAAACUCAAGAAAGUCCAAAUUAAUAAAGAAAUUUGAAGAAAGUAAUUUUUUUCAUCAAUACGACAAAUGCAAAUUCACACAUGAACCUUCACUCCAAUGACCGCUCUUACCCUCCUACCAUCACCACCACAACUACCACUAUUAUCCACACAUCCCCAUUUAUUGCUACUAUCACGAUCACUAUCCAUCCAACAUAUCCUUUACCAUUGCUAAUGCUAAUCACUAUCUCCCACUGUGUACAAUCACCUAUAAGUGGUUGAAUGCUCAUUAUUUAGACAAUACAGAAUCCAAGUAUAUGAACUUCGAUACCAGAACCAAAAUUAGUAUAACAUAAAAUUCAAUUUCAUUCUUCUGUUGAUUUUCAUAGGGACUUUUAGGUUUGCAGAAAUUUUUUGUGGUUCAAAAUAAUUUUGUACUGUUUCAUGAUCAGAAUUGGAAGUUAUUACUAUGUGAACUAGAAACUGUGACAUUAAAUUAUUUGAACAAAGCAAAACAUUUGACUUUUGGAACCAGGGCUUUAUCUUUGACUCCGUUAAGUUCAGAUAUUCAAAGUAAUAAUGGGCUUGUUGCAAAAAACUUUAAAGUAACAAUCCAAACCCAAUGCAUGAAAUUCUAAAUCUAACCCAAUGUUUGGAAUUUUUUCAGUUCAGUUUUUAGUUUACAUUUCCGUUGAUGCUCCCCACUACUUUUGUUGCCUGCCACUUGCAUUGGUGUUUUUUAUUUACAAAAUUACAAAUAAAAGUUAUAAAACCAUCUGAUUUGGAAAUGGUUUCAUAUUGUCUAAAUUAGAUAAUUGAAUUUAAAUGUGUUUUCUGACUCUCCAAUGAAAAAUGAAAUUUUGGAAUAUUUUAGAAAACUGGAAAUGGAAGUA